AGUGGCGCACGGGUGAGUAACGCGUAGGUAAUCUACCCCCGGAACCGGGAUAACAGUGCGAAAGUGCUGCUAAUACCGGAUACGAUCUUUUGGCGGGAGCUGGAAGGUGAAAGUCGGCCUCUCGAAGAAGCCGGUGCUCGGGGAUGAGCCUGCGUCCUAUCAGCUAGUUGGCAGGGUAAUGGCCUACCAAGGCGACGACGGGUAGCUGGUCUGAGAGGAUGAUCAGCCACACUGGCACUGAAACACGGGCCAGACUCCUACGGGAGGCAGCAGUGAGGAAUUUUGCGCAAUGGGAGCAAUCCUGACGCAGCAACGCCGCGUGGGUGAUGAAGGCCUUCGGGUCGUAAAGCCCUGUCAGGUGGGAAGAAUGUCCCGGGACUGAACAGGUUUCGGGAGUGACGGUACCACCAGAGGAAGCACCGGCUAACUCCGUGCCAGCAGCCGCGGUAAUACGGAGGGUGCAAGCGUUAUUCGGAAUUACUGGGCGUAAAGCGCGUGUAGGCGGCCCUGCAAGUCUGAUGUGAAAGCCCCGGGCUUAACCCGGGAAGUGCAUUGGAAACUGCAGGUCUUGAGUACUGGAGAGGAUGGGGGAAAUCCCGGUGUAGAGGUGAAAUUCGUAGAGAUCGGGAGGAAUAUCGGUGGCGAAGGCGCCCGUCUGGACGGUAACUGACGCUGAGACGCGAAAGCGUGGGGAGCAAACGGGAUUAGAUACCCUGGUAGUCCACGCUGUAAACGAUGAGCACUGGGUGUAGCGGGGACUCAUUCCCUGCUGUGCCGCAGCUAACGCGUUAA
rnacentral:rRNA from 1 species